CCUACGGGGGGCAGCAGUGGGGAAUAUUGGACAAUGGGCGCAAGCCUGAUCCAGCAAUGCCGCGUGUGUGAAGAAGGCCUGCGGGUUGUAAAGCACUUUAAGCAGGGAAGAAGGGGUGGAGGUGAAGAGUCUCCAUCAUUGACGUUACCUGCAGAAUAAGCACCGGCUAACUCCGUGCCAGCAGCCGCGGUAAUACGGAGGGUGCGAGCGUUAAUCGGAAUUACUGGGCGUAAAGCGCGCGUAGGCGGUUGACUCAGUCCGCUGUGAAAGCCCUGGGCUU
rnacentral:rRNA from 1 species